UACAGAGGUCUCAAGCGUUGUUCGGAUUCAUUGGGCGUAAAGGGUGCGUAGGCGGCGCGGUAAGUCGGGUGUGAAAUCUUGGAGCUUAACUCCGAAACUGCAUUCGAUACUGCCGUGCUUGAGGACUGGAGAGGAGACUGGAAUUUACGGUGUAGCGGUGAAAUGCGUAGAGAUUAGGAAGAACACCAGUGGCGAAGGCGACUUACUGGACUGUAACUGACGCUGAGGCAUGAAAGCGUGGGGAGCAAACAGG
rnacentral:rRNA from 1 species